rnacentral:sRNA from 1 species
AGGACGUGAAGACGAAGCACGAGACGUAGAAGGUUCCGAAGGCGACCUGAUAGGACACGCUUUUCGGUA